GCGUGAGCUGAUGAUAGGUUUUCAGGAUCUGUAAAAGCUCUGUUGUCAGGGAAGAACAAGUACCGGAGUAACUGCCGGUACCUUGACGGUACCUGGCCAGAAAGCCACGGCUAACUACGUGCCAGCAGCCGCGGUAAU
rnacentral:rRNA from 1 species